AUGUUUUCACAUCUACCUCCUGCACUCUUUUGCAAGCAGUCCUCCCCCUGUGUCUUCAUGACUGCGGUUGCCUCCUUUUCCUGGCUUGCACAGAGGAAAUCCUGUUACGACACAGUCGAUCCAUGGCGCUGCUGCAAAACCCAUCUCUUAGCCUGCCACUUCAUCUGCAUCUCCCCUCUUUGUCAGUCCUUCUGCUGCUCCCCCUUUCCUCCUGCAUCGGACACGUCGGUCUGAGGCUUUGCUUUCAAGUGUCCUUGACAGUCACCCUGUACAUGAUGUACCAAGUCUCCUGUUUUCCCAAGAUGUACUCCUGGGUUUUGAUCAGCCUGUGCUCUCAGCAUCUUUCUUCCUCACGCCAUCAUCUUUGCAUUCCUCCAAGCUUCACCUUGUGCUUACUUGUAGCUUCAUUUAAGCACUUUGUCCAUCACUUAUUUUAUUUCCUUGAAAUGUCCCAGCACAUUUGCUUUAGUUUGAUGCCUCCAGCAGCUGUUUGGUGAGAUGCUAAGAAAAUCCCUUACCUGUGCUGUCACCAUCUCUGCCACUGGAAUUACUCUGCACUGGAGCACAACAGUGUCCCCUAAAGCUAGGACAUCUGAGAGGCAGGUGUUGAACAGAUCACUCUAUCUAGCACCAGCAGAAACUCUCCUUCCAUAGCCUACAUUAUCCUGACUUGCUCUUUUUUGGCAUUUCAGGUGCAACCCUGCCCCCUUAUGCUUGCACAGCACAGCAUGCUGCAGCUCCCUUUGCAAUCGUGUUGUCUCUUUGCCUAAGUUGUUGCAGGCUGUUUGGCAAACAGGGACCAUAUGGGCUUUUCUCAGCAUGCAGUUGCUUUAGAUUUGGGCGUGAUCACCAGCCACAUCCUCCGCAUUGGACAUUCAGCUUCUAUUUCCAAACCUUCUUCCUGCUUUUCUGAAGAAUAAAAUCUUAAAUUGUCCUGGGCUCGAGCAGUAAAGGAAAAAUUCAUUCACUGGCUGACUUGUCAUCUCACCAUUGUGAUGGAAAAAUGCUCCCUUAAAAUAAACCCUUUUUAUGCCACUAAACCUGCUUUUGAAUACAAGAUCUGUUGUGAUUUUUAAAACACAAACCCAAUAAUGUCAGAACCCGACCCUUCGUCUGGAUUUGUGGGAAACAUGGAAAAUGGGACUUUCCUGGAGCUGUAUCCCACAUCCCUUUCAACUUCAGUGGAUUCAUCUCCCGGCCGUUUAUCCAACGUCUAUGUCUAUGUUUCUAUAUUCCUUAGUCUCUUAGCUUUUCUCCUUUUGCUACUCAUCAUUGCACUUCAGAGGCUGAAAAACAUAAUUUCUUCCAGUUCCUCCUACCCGGAAUACAAUAGUGACGCUGGAAGCUCGUUCACUAAUUUAGAGGUUUGUAGUAUUUCUUCCCAGCGCUCUGCUCUCUCAAACCUUUCUUCAUGAAAAUAAAUGAAAGGAAACACACAGGGAAUGGAAGAGCUUUGUCUAGCUUCUUGGAGAAGUAGUGCAUGUAACAUUUGCCUUAGAAGACUACUAUCAAGAGGUGUUUUUAAAAGUUUCCUUGUUUUUUUCCCCUUUAACUAAUUUUCAUUUUGGACAAUGGAUAAUGAUACCUGAUCAUCGUUUCUUGCCUGUAAUAGUGAUGCUGUCUCUUUCUCACACAUAGACGGUGUUCAUUAAGAGUAUUCCUGCCAUAUUGUAAUACUGUUCUAACUGGAUGUGUCAUUUCUCUGCUCUAAUUGUGACCCCUUCCCUGGUCUUGUGUCAGCAAUAUGCUGACUAUUUUUCUUUUCCUUUUUUAAUUAUAUAAGCACUUCUGGAUGAAAUCCCUGUUGCAAAAGUACAAAAAAUUCUGCUUAAAUUAUAAAUAUUGGGACAAUUUAAAGUUGUUGAUUAUUUCCUUUCUUUUUAAUUUUCACAUAUUUUUCAGUAUUUAUUGAUGUUUAUAAAACACAACUAAUUCCUGAAGAACGUUGUUUUUGUUUAUUUGUACUCCUGUCUUGUUCUGUAUGAAGUCUGUAUUUCAGUUUUUGAGUCUCUUUGGUUAACUUAGUAAAGCGACUACAAUAACAAUUCUCAUGGUUGAAGGUGUGGAGGUAUUUUUGCAGUUGCAUCUCAUUAUCUCAUUUGCCUAAUGACAUGUUCCUCCAGGGGGCAGCUUUUGCUGCUGAAUCAUAAAUACCACACAACUCCUUCUCAUUGUUCACUGAUACUGCAGCUUAUUCUCACUGGAUACCAGGACAAUCCAGUGGUUUCUUGUAACAGAUCUGCAUUCAACAAACACAGGGAGCAAGUGAAGAGCUCCUAAACCGUCCUUUAGGCACAUGAUGUUUGUACUCAGGUGGGCAGGGCCAGCAGGGACAGAAAUUGCUUGUACUGGUGAGGACAUCCUGGGCCAGGCUUUGUCCUGUGGUUUCAGAAAUGCACAGUGGGUGGAGUGGGACACACAGGGAUCUGCACAAGGGCCAGGGGACCUGUGCUCUGACCUGCAGGAAGUGCAAGGUGUACCUGCAGAGGGUAGGAGGGGAUGGGCAGGAAAAAUGGCAGCAGCUCUGCCACCCUUCCCCACCAGCAUAAGGAAAGGCCAGUGAGAGGGGAAGAGAAAUGGAUUCACAAUCUCACUCCUCUUUGCCAUGCCAUUUUCUGGGUUAUCAUUUCCCCUGCUCAAAAUGUAACAUGUCACUCAAUUUCUGCAGUAAGGUAAUAAGCAGCUUUGUGAACUGGGUCCUGUGGUCAGCUGGGCUUUAAACCAAGCCAGACAUUCAAAUUAGUGAAAUGCCAAGUGUGACCUAAUAGAACUGCAACCCCAGACUGGUGCAAUGCCUUGUUGUCCUUACUGCACUGUGUGAGCACAGCUCCGUCCUGCCACCCAAGCCCAUGCAAAUUUUGCUCUCAUGGCUGGAUCCAAGUCACUGGAGAGACCUAAGAAAUGGCACUGUCACUGCCAUUUGUGUUAUUGACGUAACACAGGCGUAACUCUGGGAGAUGGGAUGAUCUCGGCAGCAGCAGCUGCCCUCCCCCACAUGGCACCACUGCCCAGCAGGCCAAGGGGUUAGGGAAGACUUCCCAAACACAUUUAUACCUCUUGCCAAGCUGUCCAUGCUCUCAUAAACAAGACAGACUCUGCCAUUAACUACACAGGCUUUAAAAUACGAAUUUGGAAAAUUGGAAAGUCUGGUGUAAAUAUCAUCAUUAGAAAUGCAGCUGCUGUUGCCAAAUAAUACAGAUGAUGCUGGAGUUGGUAUUCUCAAUUUUUAAAAGCGGACAUGUGGUAUGGUAAGUGGGAAUGACUUAUGGUGGUCAUUAGUUCCUUACAGAGGCCAAAGGACUUGCUGACUAAUAAUGAACGUAAGCCUGUAGAUUCCGUGAGCCAAAUUCGUUUGAUGAACAUAUUUACAGCUUGGAAUAUUUUAUUCAUCUAGACAAAAGUUUCUUGCAUGUCACUUUUCACUGUGUUUGACAAUUGGCCUUGAAAAAAGAGGGAGCUGUUUAAAAGGGAUCGGGAAACAUCAUUUCCCUUCUGAAAGCUCUUUGAAAUCCUAAACCUGUAACAGAAUGUAUUCAAUGUAUGUUGACUGGUAGAAAUAAAUGAGCUGCAAAUCAAGACAGA